AGUGAACGCUGGCGGUAGGCCUAACACAUGCAAGUCGAACGGCAGGACAGUAAGAGCUUGCUCUUACGGGUGGCGAGUGGCGGACGGGUGAGGAAUACAUCGGAAUCUACUUUUUCGUGGGGGAUAACGUAGGGAAACUUACGCUAAUACCGCAUACGCCCUACGGGUGAAAGCAGGGGAUCUUCGGACCUUGCGCGAUUGAAUGAGCCGCUGUCGGAUUAGCUAGUUGGCGGGGUAAAGGCCCACCAAGGCGACGAUCCGUAGCUGGUCUGAGAGGAUGGUCACCCACACUGGAACUGAGACACGGUCCAGACUCCUACGGGACGCAGCAGUGGGGAAUAUUGGACAAUGGGCGCAAGCCUGAUCCAGCCAUACCGCGUGGGUGGAGAAGGCCUUCGGGUUGUAAAGCCCUUUUGUUGGGAAAGAAAAGCAGCAGGUUAAUACCCCGCGGUUCUGACGGUACCCAAAGAAUAAGCACCGGCUAACUUCGUG
rnacentral:rRNA from 1 species